ensembl:lncRNA
AACAUCCUGCAAAGUUUGAAAUAUGACAGUGCACCGUAUAUAAAGUUAUUGUCUUUCAAAAGUAAGAGUCGACUCUGAGUCAUUUUUAUGAAUCGUUAGAAGACCGAAGCUUUUUCUCUGACUAGAUGACGUCAACUUGUCAAGUUAUUUGAAUACGAUACGCCCACUUAUUGCGCUCCAAGACGCCAGUGAAAACUAGAAAACAUCAUGGCGACGAGACGCUGUGUUCUGAAGUGCGACUCAAAAGCAAACUUUUUUCAUCUGCCCAAGGAUGAGCAUUUGAAGACUAAGUGGCUACAAUUCAUAUAUACAACUGUACCACAGAAGUAUAGUCCGAGCCUUGUGCUUUGUUCACGCCAUUUUGAAGACGAUUGCUUUACCAACUUAUAUGCAAUUUUGAAUGUAGUAAUAAUAAUGCAAAAAAAAUAAAUAAAGUUCAAAUCAACAUUUAAAACAACAAAAAAUAUUAACCUUGACAAAAAGUAGUCUUUGAGAAUGCCUUAAUAUACAUUUACAUCCACAACCUAAUAAAAGUAAACAAUCGUGUAUAAAAACAACUAGGGAUUUCACAAGCCUCUCUACAGAGACCUAAACAGGAAUCUGAACAUGAAAUUACAGGUUUUUCUUUUUUGCUCUCACCAGGAGGUGCUAUUCUGCCUGCAAAAUUGGAUUUUAAAGGCAUAGUCUCUAUUUUAAUCUGAAAUACUGCAUUAACUGAAAAAUAAUUGUAAAAAAUCUGAUUUUACUAUUUUCAAUGGGAAAAAAAAUAUCAUAAUUAGUGCAUAAAUAUUAAUUAGUAUCAUGAAAUUCUCUCAAAAUACAAAAGAAAAAAUAUUAUUGAACAAAAAUAUAUUAGAUUGAUUUUACUGAAGAAAAAAAAAAGUUAAAUUUCAGGUGUCUGGUCACUUUUGACCGUAAAGACCAUGAGUGUGACUCUCAAAUAAGGAGUGCACAAGGGUUAAGACAAUUUUCAGGUGAAUUUUUUUGUUUGUUUGUUUGUUUGUUUUUUUGAUUCAGUCAAUUUUCUGUUCA